rnacentral:rRNA from 1 species
AGCGAACGCUGGCGGCAGGCCUAACACAUGCAAGUCGAGCGGAUGACGGGAGCUUGCUCCUUGAUUCAGCGGCGGACGGGUGAGUAAUGCCUAGGAAUCUGCCUGGUAGUGGGGGACAACGUUUCGAAAGGAACGCUAAUACCGCAUACGUCCUACGGGAGAAAGCAGGGGACCUUCGGGCCUUGCGCUAUCAGAUGAGCCUAGGUCGGAUUAGCUAGUAGGUGAGGUAAUGGCUCACCUAGGCGACGAUCCGUAACUGGUCUGAGAGGAUGAUCAGGCACACUGGAACUGAGACACGGUCCAGACCCCUACGGGAGGCAGCAGUGGGGAAUAUUGGACAAUGGGCGAAAGCCUGAUCCAGCCAUGCCGCGUGUGUGAAGAAGGUCUUCGGAUUGUAAAGCACUUUAAGUUGGGAGGAAGGGCAGUAAGCUAAUACCUUGCUGUUUUGACGUUACCGACAGAAUAAGCACCGGCUAACUCUGUGCCAGCCGCCGCCGUAAAAC